rnacentral:misc_RNA from 1 species
AAGUCGUAACAAGGUUUCCGUAGGUGAACCUGCGGAAGGAUCAUUAUUGAAUUCAUCUACCGGGUUGUUGCUGGUUCCUUUUGGUUCAAGUGCACGCCUGGUUCUUGAUCUCUUUCCACCUGUGCACUUUUGUAGGCUAUCUACGUCUUGGUUGAUUGUCUGUUGCUCAAUAUCUUGCUUUUGUGAGACGUUGGAUUGGAGGAGUGAGCUUCUUAGUUCUUCCUCUAGGACUUUCAGCUGAGCACGAUUAGCUCUACGUUUUUUUACAAACCCAUUUGUAUGUCUAGAAAGUCCAUUACUGGUCGGAAGACCUUUAAUCUUUACACAACUAUUGACAACGGAUCUCUUGGCUCAC